rnacentral:rRNA from 1 species
GGUGAGGAGAGUUUGAUCCUGGCUCAGGACGAACGCUGGCGGCGUGCCUAAUGCAUGCAAGUCGAGCGCUCGCCUUCGGCAACGGAGGCGGGAGCGGCGGACGGGUGAGGAACACGUGGGUAACCGACCCGUGGGUGGGGGAUAGCGCGGCGAAAGCGGCGGUAAUCCCGCAUACGCGUCCGGGCGGCGACGCGCGGACGGAAAGCGCCGGCAGGCGCGCCCGCGGCCGGGCCCGCGGCCCAUUAGCUAGUUGGGGGGGUAACGGCCUCCCAAGGCGACGAUGGGUAGCCGGCCUGAGAGGGUGACCGGCCACACUGGGACUGAGACACGGCCCAGACUCCUACGGGAGGCAGCAGCAGGGAAUCUUCCCCAAUGGGCGCAAGCCUGAGGGAGCAACGCCGCGUGAGCGAAGACGGCCUUCGGGUUGUAAAGCUCUGUCGAGGCGGACGAGGACCGCGCGGAGGCGCGGGGGGACGGUACGCCUCGAGGAAGCCCCUGCCAACUACGUGCCAGCAGCCGCGGUAAGACGUAGGGGGCGAGCGUUGUCCGGAAUGACUGGGCGUAAAGGGCGUGUAGG